GAAAUGCGAUACUUAGUGUGAAUUGCAGAAUUCAGUGAAUCAUCGAGACCUUGAACGCAAACUGCGCCUGCCGGUCCUCCGGCAGGCACGCCUGUUCGAGUGUUGGCUUAACAUCAAACUCUUCCCUCCGGCGAACGCGUCGGAGGGGGGGAUGGUGAGGGUCGACCUUCUCCUCAAGGAGAGGGCCGUCCCUCGAAACGAAGGCGGAGAAGGCGGCGGACCGGAUUGCCUGGUCGGCGGAUUGACAUCCUUGCGAUGAUCCGUCGUCGGCCUCGUGAACUCCAGAGUCCGACGUCUUCCUUCCGACGAAGGAACUCUCCAAGGAGAGAAUCAAAAAACUUCAACCUCGAAUCAGGCGGGAUUACCCGCUGAAUUUAA
rnacentral:misc_RNA from 1 species